rnacentral:tRNA from 1 species
GGGUGAGUAGCUCAGUUGGUUAGAGCAUCUCGUUUACACCGAGAGGGUCGGGGGUUCGAGUCCCUCCUCACCUA